rnacentral:lncRNA from 1 species
AUCCAGAGAAAUAGUUUCUAUGAAUUCCCAAUCCUCAGCUUUCAAUAUUUCACAGUCCCUAUAUUUUGGUAUCCCUUUUAUUCUUCUCUCUUCUCACUCAUGGUAAAAGGAGAAUAGAAAAGUGACACAAAUCCAGAUAUGUUAUAAAAGAGGAUUAAUAUUAUCAAGAGGGGAGUUUAUUUGUCCUCCUGUAAACAUUCUACCCUAGAGAAUUAGAAACACACUGGGGAGUAGAUGCCUUCAAAAGCCCAUAAGAUCAGUUAUUUAUGCAUUCGUUUUCACCAUUUCAGGAUGCAAAGUUAUCAGAAAAGACAACCUCUCUGGUCUCAAGCCAGCUGGGACACUACCAGGAUGUGACUAGAAUUCUUUAAGGAGGACAGAUAGGUGUUUUCUCUCACUGGACUCAGACAAGUUGGUGACCCGCACACAAUAAACCUGCUCCACAACAAGAGGAGAAGGAAUUCCAGAGCUCAAAAUGGAGAAAGGAACAGAGUAAGAACAAUGGCUUCAGGAGGAAAAUGCAAUGAUAGAAGCUUUGAAAGAAAGACAACUAGAAUUCAGGUCAUAGUAGAUGAUGAUACCUGCCUGUCUGACCUUUGAGGAAGGGGAAUUUCUGAAACCUAAGGCUUCCUUGUAUUGCUCAAUUCAGUGAGAAAGAAAUCACUAAUGAUAGCAGGGUUUUGCUCUGUCGCCCCCGCUGGAGCGCAGUGGCACAAACAGAGUACAUUGCUGUCUAUCUUCUGGACUCAAGUGAUCUUCCCUCCUCAGCCUUCUGAGUAGCUGGGACUACAGAUGCAGAUAGAAAUAUUAGUUUUAUGAGAAACUAUUUCUUAAAGGAUGAAACAUUCCACAAAAUAUAUUUUAUCACAGACUAUGGGUGGAUUCCACUGGGAGAAAAGAGGAUCUAAAUGCCAGGCUCACCCCUCACAUUCUAUUCAACUGCACAGGAUAGAAUGAUACAUCCCUCUCUCACAAGAGCUCCCUGGAAACUGCAGAGGAAUCACCAUCUUCAGCAAGCUUUAUCAAGAAUGCAUUCAUGAGAUUCCCACUUUAAACAUCCAGCCAAGCACUUUUAUGUCUGUCACAGAGGCUUUAAAGGAGAGGCUGGAGAGUUCUCAUUUUCAGCACCAUCUCAGCUGUCGGUAUUUCCCAAACCUGCACUGAUGUCUGAGAAUCCACAUCAAAACUUUUGCAUUUGUCCUCAAAGAAUGUCACAACUAUUAUUCUGAAAUGCUCAUUGCAUCUAUUUCUAGGGAUGGUAAUGAUGACUCUGUACGGACUAAGAUAGGAUUAAUAACAAUGCAGAGUUGAACUCAA